rnacentral:rRNA from 1 species
AAUAGAUACCCAGGUAGUCCACGCCGUAAACGAUGGAUACUAGCUGUUCGGAGCAAUCUGAGUGGCUAAGCGAAAGUGAUAAGUAUCCCACCUGGGGAGUACGUUCGCAAGAAUGAAACUCAAAGGAAUUGACGGGGGCCCGCACAAGCGGUGGAGCAUGUGGUUUAAUUCGAUGAUACGCGAGGAACCUUACCAAGGCUUAAAUGUAGAUUGACCGGUUUGGAAACAGAUCUUUCGCAAGACAAUUUACAAGGUGCUGCAUGGUUGUCGUCAGCUCGUGCCGUGAGGUGUCAGGUUAAGUCCUAUAACGAGCGCAACCCCUGUCGUUAGUUGCCAGCGAGUGAUGUCGGGAACUCUAACGAGACUGCCAGUGUAAACUGUGAGGAAGGUGGGAUGACGUCAAAUCAUCACGGCCCUUACGCCUUGGGCUACACACGUGCUACAAUGGCCGGUACAGAGAGCAGCCACUGGGCGACCAGGAGCGAAUCUAUAAAAACCGGUCACAGUUCGGAUCGGAGUCUGCAAC